rnacentral:snoRNA from 2 species
AAUGGGCAUGUGAUGAAUCUCAUCGUUAAAUGGGUAAUUUGCGUCUGAAUUUUUCAUUGAUGCUAUAUCACCUUGGAGAACUGAUGCUCAAU